rnacentral:rRNA from 1 species
UACAGGGGGUGCAAACGUUGCUCGGAAUCAUUGGGCGUAAAGCGCACGUAGGCGGUUCGUCAUGUCGGAUGUGAAAGCCCUUGGCUUAACCGAGGAAGUGCAUCCGAAACUGGCGAGCUAGAGUACGAAAGAGGAUCGCGGAAUUCCCGGUGUAGAGGUGAAAUUCGUAGAUAUCGGGAGGAACACCGGUGGCGAAGGCGGCGAUCUGGGUCGAUACUGACGCUGAGGUGCGAAAGCGUGGGGAGCAAACAGG